rnacentral:rRNA from 1 species
UACGGGGGGGGUAAGCGUUGUUCGGAAUUACUGGGCGUAAAGGGCUCGUAGGCGGCCAACUAAGUCAGACGUGAAAUCCCUCAGCUUAACUGGGGAACUGCGUCGUGAUACUGGAUGGCUUGGAUUUGGGGAGAGGAAUGCGGAAUUCCAGGUGUAGCGGUGAAAUGCGUAGAUAUCUGGAGGAACACCGGUGGCGAAGGCGGCAUUCUGGACCAAUAUUGACGCUGAGGAGCGAAAGCGUGGGGGAGCGAACAGG